CCUUCGCCUGCCUGCCUACCACCCAAUCCCAAAUGGGUGCUGGAUCAGGUGCCGAAUCUGGCUGCCUCCUCGGGUCCUCCUUCUCAUCACUUCUUAGGCAUGGAGAGAUGAAGGACAGAUGGAGUACCGCACAAGGAUACAAUGGAGGAAGCAGGCCAUGACUAAGACCCCAAGGAUGAAGAAUGGAGAGCCCUGACCGUCCUCCUGGCCUCCAGUCAUUUCCCCACUGAAGAUGGCCGUACCCUCUAGCCUGGGAGGACCAUGGCCCAACAAUGGCAGUGGGAGAGAAGAUGACUCUGUGGAGGACACUCUCCGUUAUCUGUGAUGACAUACACCAGCCCCCGAACAAUUUAACCUCAAGCUGCCCUCUGCAAGACUUCGGUAGCACUGGACUUCCCUCAUUCCUGGUAGGCAGAGGUUGUUAGCCAUCAGCCUGGAAGAUCUGAAGGAAAAUUUGGCUUUGGGUAAAGUCAAAGGGGAUGGCUCUCAGAGAUAAGGCCAGUUCAUGAGAAGUAAGCAGGGCUUUGCUACCUGUGCAGGGCAGAGCUGCCCUGGGCUGGGGGGAGUUCUGAUGUCAACAUCUCUGGAGGCAGAUGACAACUUCAGAAGAGGCAAAAUUUCCCCAGGAGAAAAGAAAACAGGAGGUCUUCAGUCAACAUGGAGUUUGAAGCCGCCCAUGGCUGAAGCUCAGAAUACUCUGGAGAGCUGAGAGUCCUUCUUCAGCGGCUGGGCCGUUCUGCAGCAGCUGCAGCCGCCUCUGGGCCUGGGCGUCCCGGUGGGCAGGCGUGCGUAGGUGUUGCAGCAAGGCUAGGCGGGAGGGCGUGUCCCAGGCGCACAACAGGCAGUGGUAAAGCCCGGGCUCCGGCCCUGCCUCUGCUCCCUCCAUUUCCAGCAGAAACUAGAAGCAUGGAAGAGGCCAGCUCAGAUGUAGAAGGCACACCUCCAGACCUCUGGGGGCUGUUCCUCCUCGCUUAGACUCUUUCAUGCCUGGGUGGCCUCCCUCCACCCUGCUAUGGCUUCCCAUCUGCUUCUCCUCUCCAUUUCCUUCUUUCUCCCAUCAGUCCUGGGUCCCCCAGUGUGUGGCUGGGAGUUGCUUCUGUCCUGGAUACCAUGAUGGCUGGACUGAGAUGGCCUCAUCCCUAUAGCAUGCUAGAACAGCUAAAUCAAGUCUGUUUCUCCUCCUCGGAGCCCACUGCCCUUUGGCCUCUCUCCAGGUCUGCCCAGCACUCUGCUACCCUGUUCUUCAUGUCCAUCACCACAGGUUUCUCCUCCACCUCUCUGCGCUGCGUCUCCCACCCUACCCUGUCCCUCCUCCCUCUCCCGCCCCCUCCUGCCUGAACGUCACCUUAUAGAUCUGGCUGUUUUCUUCGUGGGCUGAACCCCGGGUGUGCAGCUGCAUCUUCUCCUUGCUGUUGGACUCGAAGUCACAGAUGUUGCAGCGCAGGUGAAGUGGGGAGAUGGAGCCGUAAGAAGCCCCAUCCCCCAGGGCCAGUAGGGAAGGGGUGCCCAUGGCUCCGCCCCCCUCCCGGAGGUGGGCUGCUAGCUGGUAUUUCUGAGUGUGUUUGUCGGUCUUGAGGUGGAGCUGGAAGUUGGCCUUGAGCUGGGUGCCAUAGCAGCAGAGCUUGCAGCGGUGGGUAUCCCCAGCUACCUCCUUCCAUUCGGCCUCCGGCAGGCUCCGGCCAAUGCUGCAGUGGUACAGCAGCAGCUCCAGGCUGUCUGUGCUGAAAGCCUGGCACACCAGGCAGCGGAACACCUUCAGGGCUGGGCUGUCAUCUGGGGAUGGCGAAGUGGGCAGCCCAUCAGAUGAGGAGCCCAGGAGCUGACUUGGUGGCAGAUGGGUCUCAGGGGAGAGGCUGCCAGGGGCUGGGGGGGACAGAGACAGAUUAGGAAGAAAUGAGCGGGGCACUUAGGAUAAGCUGUGUUUACCUAAGUGGGGAGAUGACCUUUGGGAGAAGGCAGGGAAUACAAUUGGACUUGGGUACGAAGUGGCAGGAGCAGAGAGGGGACUUACCAGCUGUGGGGAACUUGCGGGCAGGCGCUCCAAGGUGGUGGAAACCAUUUAGGAGUAGCUGGGCUUCAAGGGGCUUGUCUGGCCUCAGCCCGGGCCCAGGCAUGGGUGUCUGAGGCUGUCCUAGGGCCUGGGGCCCAAAGUACUGGAAGAGUUCAGGAGGGUUGGUGGGGGCAGCCCCUGGUGGGGGAGGAGGUCCUGGCCCCACCAGCCCUGGUGGCAGGCCAAGUGGCAGCCCCUGGUGCAACAUCAGGACGUUCUGCAUGUGUUUCUCAGAAGUCAUGUGGAUGCGCAGGUUUCGGGAGAUGUUGGUUUCGUAGCUGCACACUUUGCACUGCCAGGAUGACUUGGUCUUGGGCUCUUUAUCCCCGACAGAGGUGGGUGGGAGGGAUGCCUCCGGGGGACUCGCCUGCCCGCCAGGCCCUGCCUGGAAGCCCUGCAGGUUGGCCAGGUGCUUGUCGGACUGCAUGUGGAUGCUGAGGUUGCCUUUGGUGGUGGUGGAGUAGUUGCAGACAUCGCAGCGGUAGGGCUUGUAGCCGCAGUUGUAGCUCUCUCCGCGGGCCAGGCGGGGGUGGGCGCCCCCGGCGCUACAGUAGCUGCAGUGGCUGUUGCUCUCGGGGUGCUUCUCCCGCAUGUGCACGUCCAGGGUCUGCUGGUACUUGUAGUGCCAGUUGCACUUGGGACACUUGAGAGUCUUGCAGGAAUUGCGUGAGUGUAGCAGGGACAUGUGACUGGACAGGCUGAGGCCCUGGAAGGCGGCAGGGGCUGGAGUGUAGUCAUCGGCCAGGCGACAGGACGGAGGUGGGUCACUGGUAUCUUCGGGAGAGCCUGCUGGAGCUGGGAGCACGGCCACCUCCUUAGAGGUGGGUGAGCUUUGGUUGAGCGGGAGGCAGAGCCCUCCAUCCUCUUCCUGCCCCUCAGGGAACCAGUCUGGCCCCGCCUCGCCUCUUGGUACUGGCGAAUCUUUGGCUUGGGUUGGGCUGGGGUCCCAGGUGGCUAGGGCUGUGGGUGGGGAUGGUGGGCUGAGGGCUAUAACCUCUUCAGCGGGGAGAACAAGGGCUUGACCAUCUGCCUCUGGGGGGCCGUCCUCAGCCUGGGCUCCAUUUGUCUUCACAGUCACUGUGCUGGUGUCCGGUACUUCGGGAGAAGGACGGGCAGCCAGAGACGGCGCUGAGGUAUCGUGGGACAACAUUUGGUCAGAAGAGCUAAAGCCUUGGAUUGGGUCGAAGCCAUGUUGGAUGUGAAGGGUGGUAAGGUGUGAGGAGGGGAAGUGGGUGAGGAGGGGCAGGCUGGGCUCUUCCUUGGCGCUUGCCUCAUCCCAGGGGAAGCCCUUUGGUAACGAGAGUUCACUGCCCCUAGGCAGGGGCAGGUUGGCCAGUAGGUAGGCCUGGCCUCCAGCUGCGAAGAAUAAGUGGCUGCUGAGGUCCAAAGGAAGGAUCUCUUCCUCCUCCUUUGCCACCCCAAGGUCCUUUGGUGGGAUGUGGCCACAGCCAGGCUCUUCUUGGGGCUCUCCAAUCUCCUUUGGUGGGUCAAGGUCACUGCCUGACUCCAGACGCUCUCCCCCCGGCUCUGAGGACCUUAUGCUCUCAGAGGUGGAGGGGGCAUCAGGGGGAUCUUUGGUGACAGGAUCAGAGGUGCUGGAGGAGGAGGUCUCUGGAGGUGGUGACCGAACAUUGUGCCCAGGGGAAGGAACGGUUCCGGAGGGAGAGGCUGAGUUAAGGGUAGCCAUGGUAGACGGAGGACUGCUGAGGGUUCAUUUCAGCGUGACAGCCAGUACCCUGCAUGGAGGCAUGGGGAGAGCAGUGCCGUAAGAUCUCGGGGUCCCCAGCAAGGCUGAAUGUCUGGACUCUUUAGCCCUACUAUGCUCAGACUCAGGUGCCCCCAUGCCAACUUGAAGCUCUACUUAGUGUGUCUAAAACCAGAGUUCACGAUCGCUUUCCAAACCAGCUCUUCUCCAUCUUGCAAUCUCAAAUGUGGUACCACUCAACCCUCGGCUUAUAUGUCUAUGCUAUGCCCUGUAGCUUCCAUUCCAUAACCAGUUCCAGGAUGCAUCAGACCCUACACUCACAUCUUCCUCACCAGCAGCACCCUGGUCGGACCCACUGGUAUCUUUUUGAGCUGAUGCACCAGAUGGGAUACUCUUUUCCUUCCCACCUCUGCCCUCUCCAAGCUGACAGCCAAAACAACCCCUUCAUGUUCAACUACAGAAAAUGCCCAACAUGUGUAGGGAGAACCUCUGUCUGCUGCCCGCUGUCAGUGGCAAUCAGCGCAUGGGCGGUCUCGUCUUCGUUUGUGCCCUCACCAAAACUGCUUUACUCCCCGCGGUGUUUUAAUUUUAGGUUAGAAUUAAAUAUAAAUUUUAGGUUA
rnacentral:lncRNA from 1 species